rnacentral:lncRNA from 1 species
ACCUCAAUGUGUAACAUACCGAACUUCUAAAGUUAUGAAGUUACGAGGUAUGUUGAUUGGGAAAGCCAUUAGAAUGGUUCCGGUGAAGUUCGGAAGCAUUCGGACGUUUUCGGAGCGCGUAGGUGCGAAAACGAGACCUGAAAGGCUAUGUCGCACCUUGGACUAAAUCUGGCAUUAGCGUGGAUGAAAAGAUGAUGAAAUUACGCUCGAAAACAUGUUUUGAGAGUCUCGGUUCGAUUUGAAAUGAAUCGGAGGUCAAACAAGCAAAAUGAGCGAAAAUGGAGAAGAAAGCUGAAAAUGCUGAAAAAUUGGCUAAGUCCUAAAAGUGCUAAAAUUCUGGACCUACGGUGCCACGCCCCGCGACCGCCCGCCUAUUUGGCCGGGUCGCGGUGCCGUCAACAGACCGCCGAACGGACAGAGUUUUCCCUAUACGUCCUAGACGUCGCAAUCAAAAUAAUGAACGAGUGUUCCAACGAGGAACUGAUAUCAAUCAAGAUUGCAUAAGGAAGUAUCAAUAACAUAAAACUAACUGCUAUUACAAGCAUACAUUUCUUACAACAUUUUACAUCACAGUUUUUCUUUUACAUUCGUUGACUUCCAAAUACAAUCACAUUAUUACAUCUGAUAUACAAGUUNUAAUAUCAAUCAAGAUUGCAUAAGGAAGUAUCAAUAACAUAAAACUAACUGCUAUUACAAGCAUACAUUUCUUACAACAUUUUACAUCACAGUUUUUCUUUUACAUUCGUUGACUUCCAAAUACAAUCACAUUAUUACAUCUGAUAUACAAGUUCGAUACAUCUUGGUUCACUG